rnacentral:rRNA from 1 species
GACGAUAUAUUUAAUUUU